rnacentral:rRNA from 1 species
GUCCGCACCGUAAACGAUGGAUACUAGGUGUCCGGCCUUUCGGGGCUGGGUGCCCAAGGGAAACCGAUAAGUAUCCCACCUGGGGAGUAUGUCCGCAAGGAUGAAACUCAAAGGAAUUGACGGGGGCCCGCACAAGCGGUGGAGCAUGUGGUUUAAUUCGAUGAUACGCGAGGAACCUUACCUGGGCUAGAAUGCCCCUGACAGCCUUGGAAACAGGGUUUUCCUUCGGGACAGGGAGCAAGGUGCUGCAUGGCUGUCGU